rnacentral:rRNA from 1 species
AGUGAACGCUGGCGGCAGGCCUAACACAUGCAAGUCGAGCGGUAGAGAGGAGCUUGCUCCUCUUGAGAGCGGCGGACGGGUGAGUAAUGCCUAGGAAUCUGCCUGGUAGUGGGGGAUAACGUUCGGAAACGGACGCUAAUACCGCAUACGACCUUCGGGUGAAAGCAGGGGACCUUCGGGCCUUGCGCGAUUGAAUGAGCCGAUGUCGGAUUAGCUAGUUGGUGGGGUGAUGGCUCACCA